CUACUCUUGACAUCCACGGAAUUUAGCAGAGAUGCUUUAGUGCCUUCGGGAACCGUGAGACAGGUGCUGCAUGGCUGUCGUCAGCUCGUGUUGUGAAAUGUUGGGUUAAGUCCCGCAACGAGCGCAACCCUUAUCCUUUGUUGCCAGCGGUUCGGCCGGGAACUCAAAGGAGACUGCCAGUGAUAAACUGGAGGAAGGUGGGGAUGACGUCAAGUCAUCAUGGCCCUUACGAGUAGGGCUACACACGUGCUACAAUGGCGUAUACAAAGAGAAGCGACCUCGCGAGAGCAAGCGGACCUCAUAAAGUACGUCGUAGUCCGGAUUGGAGUCUGCAACUCGACUCCAUGAAGUCGGAAUCGCUAGUAAUCGUAGAUCAGAAUGCUACGGUGAAUA
rnacentral:rRNA from 1 species